GACGAACGCUGGCGGCGUGCCUAAUACAUGCAAGUAGAACGCUGAAGGAGGAGCUUGUUCUUCUGGAUGAGUUGCGAACGGGUGAGUAACGCGUAGGUAACCUGCCUGGUAGCGGGGGAUAACUAUUGGAAACGAUAGCUAAUACCGCAUAAGAGUAGAUGUUGCAUGACAUUUGCUUAAAAGGUGCAAUUGCAUCACUACCAGAUGGACCUGCGUUGUAUUAGCUAGUUGGUGGGGUAACGGCUCACCAAGGCGACGAUACAUAGCCGACCUGAGAGGGUGAUCGGCCACACUGGGACUGAGACACGGCCCAGACUCCUACGGGAGGCAGCAGUAGGGAAUCUUCGGCAAUGGACGGAAGUCUGACCGAGCAACGCCGCGUGAGUGAAGAAGGUUUUCGGAUCGUAAAGCUCUGUUGUAAGAGAAGAACGAGUGUGAGAGUGGAAAGUUCACACUGUGACGGUAUCUUACCAGAAAGGGACGGCUAACUACGUG
rnacentral:rRNA from 1 species